rnacentral:lncRNA from 1 species
CCGGGAGGUGAGGGGCGCCUCUGCCCGGCCGCCCCUACUGGGAAGUGAGGACCCCUCUGCCCGGCCAGCCGCCCCAUCCGGGAGGGAGGUGGGGGGGUCAGCCCCCCGCCCGGCCAGCCGCCCAGUCCGGGAGGGAGGUGGGGGGUCAGCCCCCCGCCCGGCCAGCCGCCCCGUCCGGGAGGGAGGUGGGAGGAUCAGCCCCCCGCCUGGCCAGCCGCCCCGUCCGGGAGGGAGGUGGGGGGGUCAGCCCCCCGCCUGGCCAGCCGCCCCAUCCGGGAGGGAGGUGGGGG